rnacentral:rRNA from 1 species
UCAAUAAGCGGAGGAAAAGAAACCAACAGGGAUUGCCCUAGUAACGGCGAGUGAAGCGGCAACAGCUCAAAUUUGAAAUCUGGCUCUUUUAGGGUCCGAGUUGUAAUUUGCAGAGGGCGCUUUGGCGUUGGCAGCGGUCCAAGUUCUUUGGAACAGGACGUCACAGAGGGUGAGAAUCCCGUACGUGGUCGCUAUCCUUCGCCGUGUAAAGCCCCUUCGACGAGUCGAGUUGUUUGGGAAUGCAGCUCUAAAUGGGAGGUAAAUUUCUUCUAAAGCUAAAUAUUGGCCAGAGACCGAUAGCGCACAAGUAGAGUGAUCGAAAGAUGAAAAGCACUUUGGAAAGAGAGUCAAAUAGCACGUGAAAUUGUUGAAAGGGAAGCGCUUGCAGCCAGACUUGCCUGUAGUUGCUUAUCCGGACUUUUGUCCGGUGCACUCUUCUAUAGGCAGGCCAGCAUCAGUUUAGGCGGUUAGAUAAAGGUCUCUGUCACGUACCUCUCUUCGGGGAGGCCUUAUAGGGGAGACGACAUGUAACCAGCUUAGACUGAGGUCCGCGCAUCUGCUAGGAUGCUGGCGUAAUGGCUGUAAGCGGCCCGUCUUGAAACACGGACCAAGGAGUCUAACAUCUAUGCGAGUGUUUGGGUGUCAAGCCCAGACGCGUAAUGAAAGUGAACGGAGGUAGGAACCCUUUGGGUGCACUAUCGACCGAUCCUGAUGUCUUCGGAAGGAUUUGAGUAAGAGCAUGGCUGUUGGGACCCGAAAGAUGGUGAACUAUGCUUGAAUAGGGUGAAGCCAGAGGAAACUCUGGUGGAGGCUCGCAGCGGUUCUGACGUGCAAAUCGAUCGUCAAAUUUGGGCAUAGGGGCGAAAGACUAAUC